AAACGUCGGUGCGGGACAUUGAAAUUUUGAAAUGCUAUGUUUCUCGUGAGGCGUGGUGAAUCGUAAUCUCCGCUGUUGAAAAUGUCGGAAUCUGAAAAUAAAAUGAAAAAAACACGAAAAGGAGUGGAUUGCGUGUUCGACAUCUCCGCUGUAAUUUUAUUGCUAUUUUUAGAAGCUGAACAUAGAAUAAAAAAUAAAUAAAUGCGAAAUUAAUAAGUGAGAAGUGAAUCUAGAGUAGCAUCUGUUCUUCAACCGAUUAGUUUGGUCUGUGUUCAACUGUAUCGCUUAAUAUGUUCUGUGCAAGUUCAUAAACGCCUCAUGGAAAAGUGAACGUGUCUGUUAUUGUCAUCCUGUUCCUGUCUUUUGUCACUACUUCAGAUUGAGAGAAAAGACAUAACAAAUCAAUACCUGGUAACCUCAAGAAGACAGUCAUCUGAAAAUCCUCAACAAACACUAAAGAUUAUGGAAUAAUCAAGGACAUUGGUGACUGCACUUACAACCUGGACUUUCGUACUGAAGAAUAUAUUUGUUUCUGAUUCCAUGGUGUGUUUUAUUUGGAUAUCUGUUGAUAAUCAGAACUACUUUAAGAAUCUUUUAUUUGAUGGUUUCUAACUAAAGAACAAACUAAUUAAUAUCAAAGUAAUUAUGCUACAACCAACCUAUCCUGAAGUGUUCCUUCAUAGCUAAGAAAUCCUCGGAUUUUGACAAAUGACACUAUUUAUUGUGAAAGAAAAUAUAAGUCUAAUAUCAGUUUUAUCAAAAAAAAAAAAAUUUUGAGAUGGAGUGUUCUCUUUAGUUAUGACAAUAUC